CAUGCCUUAUGACCACCAGCGUUCCCACCUGCCUGUCUACCCAUGGUAUAUUUUCUACGUGUUUUUGGCUUUGUUUUAGUUUUCCUUCUGAGUUUGGAAGUGAGAAAACCUAAAAAGGAAGAGUUGCAUGUAUCAUCAAAAACAUAUCAAUGGACUACAGCUGGAAUUCUUAAUUUGGAGACCUACUAGUUACGUGACUGGGAAAAUCACCUCCACCCUCUGGCCUUAUUUUAUUGGGGGAAAUUAAUCAAACCCACCGUUUAGCAUUGUUGGAGAGAUCAGCCACACCGCUUACAAUGCUCCAGCCCAGUGACCGAAAUGCCACCGCUGUUGGACUACACGGGGUCCUGCCUCCCCUCUGUGUCUUGCAGCAUCUGUCUCGGAGGCCAGGUUCAUCUUCUGCUUUCCGUACCUUGGAUAAUAACAAAUUAGGGGAGCAGCUACUGGGGACUGGAUGAGGUCAGAGCAAAGAAGGAGAAGAGCAGGGAAGAGACACAGUAGGAGCCCAUGUGCGAGGCCGGAUUUUGAGGACUGUUUCUGGAAGUGGAGAGAAAACUCUCUCAAAUGGAGCACUGAUCGAGAGGAAGACUGAGGUAGGACAUGAG
rnacentral:lncRNA from 1 species